rnacentral:rRNA from 1 species
CUGCCAGUAGUCAUAUGCUUGUUUUAAAGAUUAAGCCAUGCACGUCUAAGUACAGGCCACUUUAAACGAUGGUCGAAACUGCGAACGGCUCAUUAAAUCAGUCAUGGUUCAUUGGAUCGUACUAUCCCUACGUGGAUAACUGUGGUAAUUCUAGAGCUAAUACAUGCAACUUUUCGCUCCGACCCAGCGCAGGGGGAAGAGCGCUCUUAUUAGAUCAAAGACCAACCGGCGUGCGGGCGGAUCUUCGGACCGUCUCUCGCCGCAAUUAUAGACUUGGUGACUCUGGAUAACACGCUAAGCUGAUCGCAUCGGCCGUCGAGCCGGCGACGCUUCUUUCAAAUGUCUGCCUUAUCAACUGUCGACGGCAGGUGACCUGCCUGCCGUGGUAUUGACGGGUAACGGGGAAUCAGGGUUCGGUUCCGGAGAGGGAGCCCGAGAAACGGCUACCACAUCCAAGGAAGGCAGCAGGCGCGCAAAUUACCCACUCUCGACGCGUGGAGGUAGUGACGAAAAAUAACGAUGCGGGACUCUUUGGAGGCCCCGUAAUCGGAAUGAGUGCAAUUUAAAUCCUUGGACGAGGAUCUAUUGGAGGGCAAGUCUGGUGCCAGCAGCCGCGGUAAUUCCAGCUCCAAUAGCGUAUAUUAAAGUUGCUGCGUUUAAAACGCUCGUAGUUGGAUCUCGGGUGCGGGACGGUCGGUGUCGCCCACAGCGGCGUCCACUGCCGUCGCCUCGGCCGCGUCGUGGGGUCUUCGGUGCGUUUUAGCUUCUCUUCUUCUUCCUUUGCCCGCCUAGCGUUAGUUCGUUGGGUCGGGGUUUACGGGGGGAGGAGCAGAGGGAGGCUGCGCCCCGAAUAAAAGGGCCCUCGGACGGCCGCUGGCGAGUCUAAUUCCCGUCACCUUGAACCAGGCCGGCGUCUCUUCGGGUUGCUCUUCGCUGGGUGGCCCGGGGUGGUCGGCCCCGUUUACUUUGAGAAAACAGGAGUGCUCAAAGCAGGCAGUUCUCGUUGGCCAAUGAACGAGUUGUGCAUGGAAUAAUGGAAUAGGACCUCGGUUCUGUUGCGUUGGUUUUAUCGGAAUGCCGAGGUAAUGAUUAAGAGGGACAGACGGGGGCAUUCGUAUUGCGCCGGGAGAGGUGAAAUUCUUAGAUCGUCGCAAGACGCACGACUGCGAAAGCAUUUGCCAAGCAUGUUUUCCUUAGUCAAGAACGAAAGUCAGAGGCUCGAAGACGAUCAGAUACCGUCGUAGUUCUGACCGUAAACGAUGCCGACCGGCGAUGCGCCGCGGUCGUUAACGUAUAUGACCCGGCGUGCAGCCUUCCCGGGAAACCUAGAGUGCUUGGGUUACGGGGGAAGUAUGGUUGCAAAGCUGAAACUUAAAGGAAUUGACGGAAGGGCACCACCAGGAGUGGAGCCUGCGGCUUAAUUUGACUCAACACGGGAAAACCUACCCGGCCCGGACACCGUGAGGAUUGACAGAUUGAGAGCUCUUUCUCGAUUCGGUGGGUGGUGGUGCAUGGCCGUUCUUAGUUGGUGGAGCGAUCUGUCUGGUUAAUUCCGAUAACGAACGAGACUCUAGCCUAUUAAAUAGUUCGCCUGUCGUCCGCUCCAAAGCGGCUCUUGGCGGGCGGGAGAGUUUUUUUCUCGGCGGCCCUACCUAACCCCCCCAUCCUUUUUAUUGAGGUAUAGGGGGGAGGCGGUCGGUUCGUCGGGUUUGCUUUCCGUUGAACUUCUUAGAGGGACUAGCGACUUUCAGUCGUGCGAGAAUGAGCAAUAACAGGUCUGUGAUGCCCUUAGAUGUCCGGGGCCGCACGCGCGCUACAAUGAAAGAAUCAACGCGUGUCACCAACCCGGUCCGAGAGGAUCGGGCAACCAGUUGAACCUCUUUCGUGAUAGGGACUGGGCGUUGUAAUUUUCGCCCACAAACGAGGAAUUCCCAGUAAGCGCGAGUCACGAACUCGCGUUGAUUACGUCCCUGCCCUUUGUACACACCGCCCGUCGCUACUACCGACUGGACGGCGCAGUGAGGCGAUCGGAUCGGCCCUCCCAAGUCCCUCUCGCGGGGUUCACUCUGCGGGUGGGUACCGACGGACGGGACGAGAAGAUCUUCGAACUGCGACGUCUGAAGGAAGUAAAAA